rnacentral:miRNA from 1 species
UCUUCCUCUUCCUCUUCCUCUUCCUCCUCUUUCUUCUAGCUAGAAAAGUCCUAGUUGGGAUCUUUUUCAAAUAGAUGGCUAUUUGAAUCUGUUGUUUCAUGUGGCCACCUUUAUUAAUAAUCUUAGCUACAUGUUUUGGAUAACUUGCUGCAGCUUUUACAUCAGCACUUGUU